AGUGAACGCUGGCGGUAGGCCUAACACAUGCAAGUCGAACGGCAGCACAGUGAGAGCUUGCUCUUACGGGUGGCGAGUGGCGGACGGGUGAGGAAUACAUCGGAAUCUACUUUUUUGUGGGGGAUAACGUAGGGAAACUUACGCUAAUACCGCAUACGACCUACGGGUGAAAGCAGGGGAUCUUCGGACCUUGCGCGAUUGAAUGAGCCGAUGUCGGAUUAGCUAGUUGGCGGGGUAAAGGCCCACCAAGGCGACGAUCCGUAGCUGGUCUGAGAGGAUGAUCAGCCACACUGGAACUGAGACUCGGUCCAGACUCCUACGGGAGGCAGCAGUGGGGAAUAUUGGACAAUGGGCGCAAGCCUGAUCCAGCCAUACCGCGUGGGUGAAGAGGGCCUUCGGGUUGUAAAGCCCUUUUGUUGGGAAAGAAAAGCAGCAGGUUAAUACCCCGCUGUUCUGACGGUACCCAAAGAAUAAGCACCGGCUAACUUCGUG
rnacentral:rRNA from 1 species